GGGCCUGUGGUCUAACGGCUAUGACAUCACCUUCGCAAGGUGGGAACUUCGGGUUCGAAUCCCGACAGGUCCA
rnacentral:tRNA from 1 species